GGUGUUUUCUCGUUUCCUGAAAGUGGAGAAAAAAGAACAGAGAGUGAGAGUUGAUCCAAAGUUUGGUUUUCAAAGGUUUGUGGAGUAAUAUGGCAUGUUCUUGGGAGUUUUAGCAAAGAGAAGGAGAGUUUCGUGGCUGUGGUUAUUAGGAGGGUUCUGAACUUCCCCUGUUCAUCUUUGUCGUCUUGUAUAACUCGUGCUGAUCAUUUGUCCUCGUGAGGAAGCUUGUACCAAACUUGUUCAACUUCCCCACUGACUCCAUUCUUCUUGCAAAAAUCCUCAAAAAUGGAUCAAGUCAUCAAAUCGGGAUCCAUCAACAUGUCUUUCUCCAGAGACCCUCCAACAUAAUCGAAC
rnacentral:lncRNA from 1 species